rnacentral:rRNA from 1 species
GAUGAACGCUGGCGGCGUGCCUAAUACAUGCAAGUCGAGCGAACGGACGAGAAGCUUGCUUUUCUGAUGUUAGCGGCGGACGGGUGAGUAACACGUUGAUAACCUACCUAUAAGACUGGGAUAACUUCGGGAAACCGGAGCUAAUACCGGAUAAUAUUUUGAACCGCAUGGUUCAAAAGUGAAAGACGGUCUUGCUGUCGCUUAUAGAUGGAUCCGCGCUGCAUUAGCUAGUUGGUAAGGUAACGGCUUACCAAGGCAACGAUGCAUAGCCGACCUGAGAGGGUGAUAGGCCACACUGGAACUGAGACACGGUCCAGACUCCUGCGGGAGGCAGCAGUAGGGAAUCUUCCGCAAUGGGCGAAAGCCUGACGGAGCAACGCCGCGUGAGUGAUGAAGGUCUUCGGAUCGUAAAACUCUGUUAUUAGGGAAGAACAUAUGUGUAAGUAACUGUGCACAUCUUGACGGUACCUAAUCAGAAAGCCACGGCUAACUACGUG